GACGAACGCUGGCGGCGUGCUUAACACAUGCAAGUCGAACGAAGUGGCGAACGGGUGAGUAACGCGUAAUCAACCUGCCCUUCAGCGGGGGACAACAGUUGGAAACGACUGCUAAUACCGCAUACUGAAGGAGGGGAUUGCGUCUGAUUAGCUAGUUGGAGGGGUAACGGCCCACCAAGGCGAUGCUCAGUAGGCGGGCGGAGAGGAUGAACGGCCACAUGGGGACUGGGAAACGGCCCAGAAUACUACGGGAGGCAGCAGUGGGGAAUCUUCCGAAAGGGACGAAAGUCUGACGGAGCAACGCCGCGUGAGUGAUGACGGCCUUCGGGUUGUAAAGCUCUGUUAAUCGGGACGCGGUACCGGAAUAGAAAGCCACGGCUAACUACGUGCCAGCAGCCGCGGUAAUUC
rnacentral:rRNA from 1 species